rfam:Glycine soja cultivar W05 scaffold2596_2, whole genome shotgun sequence.
UUUUUAUUGGAUAUUGACCGUCACGUGUCGCGUGUUAUUGGAGGUUGACGUUUGGGUACAUAAAAUUAACAUCCAAUGAAAACAUGACACGUGACAAUUAAUGUCC